UACAUUGGUACUGUAAGCUCGCUAAUAUUUGUUGGAUGGAUUUACGUUGGUAGCAUUUAUUACCCUCCCAUCAGUGAAAGACCUCCAGUAUCAAUUGAUGGUUGCGAUGUUGGAAAUGUAUUCAAUGGUACAAAUGGGUUGAGAAACAAAAUUUCUCCUUUCAAAAUAUGACCGUAUCUUACAGAAACCCUUUGGCGAAGUUUUACGGGCUGUCCUUUUUCUACUACGGUGCUGUCGGCUUGUUUGUGACGAUAAUAAUUGGCUACGUGUUCAGUGUUAUCUUAGCAAUCUGGGAUGAAGAACAAGUUAUCAUGGAUGAUGAUCUUUUGUUUGAGUUCCACAAUCUAUUUAAAAGGAAAACGGAGAAAAUGAUACCACGUGAAUAUGAAGAAAGCCUCGUAAAAACAAGCCGUCUUUAAGUAUGAUUGCAUUUCAAGCACUCAUUUAAUGUUUAAAACAGAAUGUAAAAUUCCUUAAUGGAUGGUUGCAUCAGUGCUAUAUGCAGCUAAGAAUUGAUCUUAAUGCCGGGCUGCAUUAGUCUAGAAUAUCAAGGAUUGUUUGUAAUGCUUUCAGAAUUUAUGGUAACACAAUAGUUUUGUUUUAAGAAGUAAAAGGUAAGAAAUUCUUUCUCUUGGAAAGAUAUUAGAUUUUUUUUUAUUUCUCACUUUUGUAUCUCUAUAUAUUUCUCGGGUAGUUUGCCAAGCAUAUGUUUUUGUAUUAUGUUGAUUAAUUGCUUAUUUUGCAGCUGUCUUAGCUAUUUUUAGUAUGAUAAUUUGUAAUUCUGUAAUUGUUCCUUAUGAUUUAUAGUGGUUAUAAAUUAACUGUAGUGGUCGACGUCUCAUAUGCUGUUUUAUGGUCGUUAUAUAAAUAGCCAUAGAAAUCACUUAUGAAAUGCAUUCACGUAUAUUUCAAAUAUUAAAAGUACUAAAAACAA